rnacentral:rRNA from 1 species
UUCCCCUAGUAACGGCGAGUGAAGAGGGAAGAGCCCAAGAUUGAAAGCUGGCGUCUUCGGCGUCCGCAUUGUAAUCUCAAGAAGUGUUUUCCGCUUCGGACCAAGCCUAAGUCCCUUGGAAAAGGGCAUCAUAGAGGGUGAUAAUCCCGUACAUGGCUUGGAGCGCCCGAGGCUUUGUGAUACGCUUUCUAAGAGUCGAGUUGUUUGGGAAUGCAGCUCAAAAUGGGUGGUAAAUGCCAUCUAAGGCUAAAUAUUGGGGAGAGACCGAUAGCGAACAAGUACAGUGAUGGAAAGAUGAAAAGAACUUUGAAAAGAGAGUUAAACAGUACGUGAAAUUGCCAAAAGGGAAGGGUAGGAGGUCAGAGAUGCGGCCUGGGAUUCAGCCUUGCUUUUGCUUGGUGUUUUUCCCAGAUUGCAGGCCAACGUCGGUUUUGGGCACUGGAGAAGGGUAGGAGGAACGUGGCACCCCUCGGGGUGUGUUAUAGCCUCCUACUGGAUACAGCGACCGAGACCGAGGACAGCAGCGUACUCGUAAGAGCGGACCCUCGGGUACCUUUACGCUUAGGGC